UGCUCUAUCGGUUCCUAUCCCUUUAAACGUCCCUUCAACCUUUUUCUGUCCUUUUCUAUUCGCCUCCUCUAUUUUCUCUUCUCUCCAUAAAACCCUCUCUUCUUUUUUCUUUUUUUCUUACUUGUCCUUUAUUUUUUUUUCUUUUACCAUGACUAAAACUCGUUCAUGUCUUCUGUCAAAGGCUCCGAUCCUAGUCCUUCUCUUACCCUUUGAUGUUCUUUCCCUUUCCUCUGAUGAAUCAUGAGAAUCCCCUUAUGUGUCAUCUAAGAGUAAUCUUACUACUUCAAGUUCGAAGACUUUGAACAAAAGCGCUACCUAGUUCUCUGGAACUCUCUCUCCUGGAGAUAUGCAUCAAUUUUGGGGAAUAGAUCACAAAAAUAGUUAUGAACAGUUCAAAUUUCAUCCCAUUUGUGUCUGGACGAGUGUAAAUCUCAGCCAACUGCGUGACUCAAUUUGUCCAGUAAGCCCCUUUCUUAAAGCUCAGUCAUUAUUUUUGCUUCUGGUGAGCCCGUUUCUUAAAGCUCAUAAACUAUCAUUAUUUUUGCUUUGUGUGGCCUUAAAUGUUUGAAAAAGCUAUUUGACUGUUUUACGCUAAUCUCUGUAUCUCCACUGACAAUUGUUCUAGGUAAUCGUUUGGUUAUUAGUGAACCUUUCUUUGAAGGUGUUUUUGGUACAAAAUUCUUUGGUGUUAUAGGUACGUGAAUGUCACUUGGCCUAAUGAAUUUGAGGUGACUCUUGAAGGUGCUAACGACUCUGUGGCUAAACCCAAAAUGUUAUCUAUAUGACUUUGGUGCCAUGUCACUUUGUUUUGAAAAAUAUAUUUUGGCUCAUAUUGUUGCAACUAUUCUACUGCCUAGGAAUGACUCCCUAAGCGAUAUUUCCAAUAGGGAUAUGUUUGUCCUUUACUGUUUGCUCAAAAAAUACAAGAUCAACUGGGCACAAUUGUUUAAAAAUUAUAUGUAGGGAAGUGUUGAGGAAUUAAACCCGUCUUCUAGUUUGUCGCAUGGGUUUCUCAUAUCUCAUAUACUAGUGGACCGACUCAUUGAUCUUACCAAAUACAAACCUAUUAUGAUUAACUCAACCUACGACUCCCGAAAAAACUCAAGUAUGAGUUAUGUAGAGGUAGACAACAUUUGGGUAAAGAAGGACUCUGCCCAAUAACGGGUUAAAGCAAAAAAACCAACGAAGAUCUCUGUAUACUAAAUCACUCUUCUGCUUAAGGACCCAAAGAUCUCAAAAUUCGUAUCGUGGCUAUGAAACGUGGACUAGAGACCCUUCCUGAUGCUGUUGGAAAAGUGUUUCGCCUUCAGAAAGAUACCAACACUGAUAUCGGAAUGUGGAACAUUUUUACAACUCUUUCAGUGAGGGUCAUCAACUCUCUGAAAUAUUGUUGGGGUUCCAAGCGCUAGACUCUUGGUGAGAUCUAUCUUUUACUCUCUCUUUUGGACAAUUUCUAUAGGGUCAUGUCCCUAUUUGUCUUAGACUAUAAAUUGAAGGCUCCUAGACUUCUUACCGGUUUUCUUAUAUCUAGACUAUCAUUUGUGUUUUCUCUGUUUGUCUUUUUGACUAUGUCAAAGGGGGAGAAUGGUUCUGGUUUAAACAGACCAGGUCCAAGUUCAGGCCCAAGUUUUGACUGUCUAGGUUCAUUAAUUUAAUAGGCCUUCAAAUCAGGGGGAGCUCCACAUGAAGGCCACAUGAACCUUGACAUUUCAGGGAAGUCUUUACUAAAUGACAUUUAUGUAUCUCUUUAUUUGAACUUAGUUGUCAUUAUAAAAAAGGAGUCAUAAUCGUAUGUUUUAAUAAUGACAAAUACACUUAUUGAAUAACCACUUGAUGCAGGAAAGGAAUGAUAUACAUAGCAUAAACUCUAAAUCUAGAGGAUUGCAGGAAUUAAGCAAAUCAUGAGCAAAUCCAGUUAAGAAAGGAAAGUGAAUAUUCGAUCAAUUAGAUCAAAAUUCAAAGCUUGCAAUAAUUAAAGGAAGACACACAAAGAAGUUUUCUCAAGUAAAUCAAGAAGGACAAAAUAAUCAAAUCAAAGUGAAAUCAAAGAAGAAAUAUCGAAACAGAAGUCAAGAUCAAAAUUAGGAGAAAUCAAGUCAAGUGACGAUGAUAAAGCUAAGACUCAAGACAUCUAACAAUUAAAGAAUUGAUUUGUCAUGCACAUAUUGAUAUGGAGAUGACUAAGCAAAUCAAUUUCAAAUGAAUCAAGGGAAUAAAGGAUAAGAUCAAUGAUCCUUGAUUCAAACAUCCUUGGGUUUUUGACAAGAUCAUCCUAUAUAAACCUACUCGACCUUUAGUGUGAUGCACACAACUUCACUUGAACUUAUCUAUAAUCUUUUUUCAUAUUUGAUAAGCGUUUUGUACACGAGAGUGAACAAUUGUAAAAGAAAGAGAGAAGAAAAUAUUAUGAGAGCAUGUGAUACAAGUAGAGCCAGUAUCCCCAAAAUAGAAGUUCUGAUUUAAAUAUCAAACAAGAUUCUAUGUCUACACCUUCUGUACAAUCAAGUUUGUUCGAAGCUCUUAAAAAAACCUUUGAAACCCAAUUGGAUUGGACUAGGAACCACAUGGUGAUCCAAAACAGUAUAAAAUUUUGUGUUAAUUUACUUUCAA